GCCGAUGUAGCUCAGCUGGCUAGAGCAACUGACUUGUAAUCAGUAGGUCGUGGGUUCGAGUCCCACCAUCGGCU
rnacentral:tRNA from 1 species